CCAGUCUACCAAAAGAUCUGUCCAUGUUUCGUACAUGUAGUUCAUGUAAAUAUCGAGAAGGACAUAUGCUUUGAAGACAAGACAAGAUACUAGUUCCAACAGUUAUGUUGCAACACACAAGUUUUCUCUGCGCUCUGAAGGCAUGACCGUCUCGGUGUGUUUGGUGACGGAUGUUUUCCUGUUUUCCUGUUGGCGAGCAUUGACAUGGAGAUCUCCGGACCGAGCAGCCCUCGAUGACAUCAUCAUCCAGCGCCCGGCGCAUGGUGAAGUCCACCACCGGAUGGAAACGGAGCGACUCGUUGAUGAAACUCUCCAGAAUGUGUAACCUGGACAGAUGAUCUUUAACUCCACGUCUGGAUUCUGUUUGAGCAACAGCAGCAUGAAGAACAGGCUGAUAGAAAGGGUGUCUGGAGCAGCGAUCACCAUCUCCAACACACACUGCCUGACGUUCUCAGCGCUCAGCUCCCCAAGGCUCUA